GCUCUAGUUCCAGGAGAUUGAGGAAGAGAAGGGGCAGUCUAAGGGAGAGGAAGAGGUGCCGUAUUGAACACAGGUGUCACAGUCAGAGGAAAGGGGGUUGCGGGCACUGACUCUGCAGAUGGGAAAGAUAUGGCUGGUGACUGGAUAUUUGGCUUAGAGACCAGCCCCAACCACUUUCCUUCUACCUUUAACUAAGAGCAAGGCUCAAAGCAUGGGAGAAAAUCUUGAGAGGGAUGAUUGUAACAUGAAAUGAGGAGCACACUGAAGCAUUUCGGGGUGAAGGGCCAUCAUAUCUGCAGCUUCUUCUCAAACAGUUGAGGGAAAAAGUAAUGUAUAUACAUAUUGAGAGAGAGAGAAAAGAAGCAUCGCGGUGAAAUGGUUUAUUCAAUGAGGUGAAUUCUCCAAGGGACCCUGAACAGCGACUUUCUCUUCCCAUCAUUGUCUUCAAUUUUACUGUUGAAGACCUCCUUUUCCAGACAUCAGCAACCAUCCAGGUAGACCCCAUGGUC
rnacentral:lncRNA from 1 species